UCGCCACGGUAAUACCAGCCCCGCGAGUGGUCGGGACUAUUAUUGGGCCUAAAGCGCCCGUAGCCGGCCUGGUGUGUCUCCCCCUAAAGCCUCGGGCUCAACCCGAGGAGUGGGGGAGAUACUACCAGGCUAGGGGGCGGGAGAGGCCGAGGGUACUCCCGGGGUAGGGCGAAAUCCAAUAAUCCCGGGAGGACCACCAGUGGCGAAGGC
rnacentral:rRNA from 1 species